CCUGAGUAAAGUGGCGCACGGGUGAGUAACACGUAGGUAACCUACCUCUAAGUUUGGGAUAACCUGUCGAAAGAUGAGCUAAUACUGAAUAAGACCACAGUUUCCUCGGAAGCAGGGGUCAAAGGUAGCCUCUAUUUAUAAGCUAUCACUUAGAGAUGGGCCUGCGUACCAUUAGCUAGUUGGUGAGGUAACGGCUCACCAAGGCAAAGAUGGUUAGCUGGUCUGAGAGGAUGAUCAGCCACACUGGAACUGAGAUACGGUCCAGACUCCUACGGGAGGCAGCAGUGGGGAAUUUUGCGCAAUGGGGGAAACCCUGACGCAGCAACGCCGCGUGAGUGAUGAAGGCCCUUGGGUCGUAAAGCUCUGUCAGAGGGGAAGAAAUGCGGGGCGGUUAAUACCCGUUCCACUUGACGGUACCCUCAAAGGAAGCACCGGCUAACUCCGUGCCAGCAGCCGCGGUAAUACGGAGGGUGCAAGCGUUGUUCGGAUUUAUUGGGCGUAAAGGGCGUGUAGGCGGUCCGUUAAGUCUGAUGUGAAAGCCCUGGGCUCAACCCAGGAAGUGCAUUGGAAACUGGCGGACUUGAGUACGGGAGAGGGCAGUGGAAUUCCUAGUGUAGGAGUGAAAUCCGUAGAUAUUAGGAGGAACACCGGUGGCGAAGGCGGCUGCCUGGACCGAUACUGACGCUGAGACGCGAAAGCGUGGGGAGCAAACAGGAUUAGAUACCCUGGUAGUCCACGCCG
rnacentral:rRNA from 1 species